AGUGUUCAAGCCCAACCUUUGGAGUCGAGUCCCACCUCCUACCUCAGAACCACCACCAUAAUCAGGAUUUAGAAUGCAUCACCCCAAAAUGUUUCUUCAUGUCCCUGGCCCCUUGCUUUCAAUCUCCUACAGCUCCUAGAUGUGGAAUGUAUGCCCUGCAGGCUGGUCUCUUUCCUGAGAGCUGAGAUGUCCUGUCCUAAGAACAGAGCCUGGCACGUGUCGGACAACUGUGGAGGGAACUGAUGAGUGAAAGAGAGAAUGGAGAAAGGAAUGAAUCAGCAUAAGCCCCACAGGGACAAAGACUGUAACUGGAGCACCCUUUCAUCCCCACUGCUGGACACAGGGUGGGGAACACUAAAUGUGCGCUACGCAUUGUUUAUCGAAACAGGCUCUACAUCAAAAUAAAAAACAAAACGAAAAAA